GACGAACGCUGGCGGUGUGCUUCACACAUGCAAGUCGAACGAGGUAGCAAUACCUAGUGGCGGACGGGUGAGUAACGCGUGGGAAUCUGCCCAUAGGUGGGGGAUAACUAGCCGAAAGGUUAGCUAAUACCGCAUAUGCCGAGAGGUAAAAGGAGUAAUCCGCCUUUGGAUGAGCCCGCGUCCGAUUAGCUAGUUGGUAGGGUAAAAGCCUACCAAGGCUACGAUCGGUAGCUGGUCUGAGAGGAUGAUCAGCCACAAUGGGACUGAGACACGGCCCAUACUCCUACGGGAGGCAGCAGUGGGGAAUUUUACGCAAUGGGGGGAAACCCUGACGUAGCGACACCGCGUGAACGAAGAAGCCCUUUGGGGUGUAAAGUUCUGUCGGCUGGAACGAAAAAAUGACGGUACCAGCAAAGGAAGCAUCGGCUAACUACGUGCCAGCAGCCGCGGUAAU
rnacentral:rRNA from 1 species